rnacentral:rRNA from 1 species
UACGUAGGGUCCGAGCGUUGUCCGGAAUUAUUGGGCGUAAAGGGCUCGUAGGCGGUUCGUCACGUCGGGAGUGAAAACUCGGAGCUUAACUCCGAGCCUGCUUCCGAUACGGGCAGACUAGAGGUAGGCAGGGGAGAGCGGAACUCCUGGUGUAGCGGUGGAAUGCGCAGAUAUCAGGAAGAACACCGAUGGCGAAGGCAGGUCUCUGGGCAUUAACUGACGCUGAGGAGCGAAAGCAUGGGGAGCGAACAGG